GACGAACGCUGGUGGCGUGCCUAAUACAUGCAAGUCGAGCGCAGGAAACCGUCUGAACCCUUCGGGGGGACGACGGCGGAAUGAGCGGCGGACGGGUGAGUAACACGUAAAGAACCUGCCCACGGGUCUGGGAUAACCACGAGAAAUCGGGGCUAAUACCGGACGGGUCAUCGGACCGCAUGGUCCGAGGAUGAAAGGCGCUCCGGCGUCGCCCGUGGAUGGCUUUGCGGUGCAUUAGCUAGUUGGUGGGGUAACGGCCCACCAAGGCGACGAUGCAUAGCCGACCUGAGAGGGUGAUCGGCCACACCGGGACUGGGACACGGCCCAGACUCCUACGGGAGGCAGCAGUAGGGAAUCUUCCACAAUGGACGAAAGUCUGAUGGAGCAACGCCGCGUGAACGAUGAAGGCCCUCGGGUCGUAAAGUUCUGUUGUAAGGGAAGAACAAGUGCCGCAGGCAAUGGCGGCACCUUGACGGUACCUUGCGAGAAAGCCACGGCUAACUACGUGCCAGCCGCCGCGGUAAAAC
rnacentral:rRNA from 1 species